rnacentral:tRNA from 1 species
UAGCUCAGAUGGUAGAGCGACAGACUCUUAAUCUGUUGGUCGUGGGUUCAAAUCCCA